CCUAYCUGGUUGAUCCUGCCAGUAGCGAUAUGCUUGUCUCAAAGAUUAAGCCAUGCAUGUGCAAGUCCAAAUGGUGCUAGUCACCGUGAGACCGCGGACGGCUCAUUAAAUCAGUCGUUGUCCAAAUGGGUCAGUCGCAUUUACGUGCAUACUUGGAUAACUGUGGUAAUUCCAGAGCUAAUACAUGCAACCUAAUGUCCUGACGAGUUAGAUUCGUUCGCUCUGAUGGACGCUUUUAUUAGACCAAUCCGAAGCUUGCUUGUGUGGUGAACGCACUCGCAUUCCAAAUGGUGAAUCUGGAUAACACACCCACGGUUAUUGACAAGCGCACACGUGCUCUCCCGGCAACGGAGGCACGGCGCUACCACUUUCGAGUGUCUGACCUAUCAGCUAUCAAUCGUUCGUUAUGUGCGACCGAUGGCUUUGACGGGUAACGGGGAAUCAGGGUUCGAUUCCGGAGAGGCAGCCUGAGAAACGGCUACCACGUCCAAGGACGGCAGCAGGCACGCAAAUUACCCAAUCCCAGCAAAUGCUUGGGGAGGUAGUGACGAGACAUAACGAUGCGGGCGCCUCUUUCGAGGCCUCGCAAUCGGAAUGAGCGUUUGUCUAAAACUCCCGACGAGAACCUACUGAAGGGCAAGUCUGGUGCCAGCAGCCGCGGUAAUUCCAGCUUCAGUGGCGUAUGCUAAAGUUGCUGCGGUUAAAAGGUUCGCAGUUGGAUCUCGAUCUCGUUGUCGCACGCUCGGAUACCCAUCCGCAUGCGUGCGACUCAAUCCCAAACUAUCAGUUAUGGCCAGUGUUGUGUGCAUGUCGCUCCCGCGUCUUCGACGCGGGACUUGGUGUCACGACUUGAGACGGUCUUUAACUGAGUGGCAUCUUGAGCAAAUCGGAGUUCUCAGAGCAGUCGAAGUGUGUGCUGUGCCGCGCGCUUAACGGUGCGUGGUGCAGUGCGUGUGUAUUGGUACGUUGCCUUGCAACACCAAGAAAUGUCGGAAUAUGAAGUCUCAAUCUCGUGGGCCUUGACUUGUCAUUGCUCGCGGGUGGUUGGCAUAUUGUGAGUGCGUGCGGUGCAUGCAGCCUUGGGGAUGAGAUUGGGUUCGCUCUUUCAACACUCCCUUUAAGGUUGCGGCUCGUGCUUCGGUACUGCCAGCCGAGACUUAAUGCAUAACGGAGAUCGCUGAGGUCAGAGGUACUUGAUGGCAAGAGGUGAAAUUCUGUGAUUUGGUGAUGACCGUCGGAGGCGUAAGCUUUUGACAAUAAGGCCCUUGUCAAUCAUGGACGAAAGUCAGAGGCUCGAAGGCGAUCAGAUACCGCCCUAGUUUUGACCGUAAACGAUGCCAACCAUCGAUCCGCCGUAGUACCAUUGUAUCGGGCUCGGCGGGGAGUUCCUCUCUCACGGGAAACCAGAGUCUCUGGGUUCCGGGGGGAGUAUGGUUGCAAAACUGAAACUUAAAGGAAUUGACGGAAAGGCACCACCAGGAGUGGAGCCUGCGGCUUAAUUUGACUCAACACGGGAAAUCUCACCAGGCCCGAACUACGUUGCGAUUGACAGAUUAAAGUUCUUUCAUAAUUUGGAGUGUGGUGGUGCAUGGCCGUUCGUAGUUGGUGGAGUGAUCUGUCUGGUUAAUUUCGAUAACGAACGAGACUCUAGCCUGCUAACUAGUCGGAUGGAUCUCGCUCACAUGGCAAUACGCAGGGCCCCAAGGGGAGCAAUCUCCGCAAGGCACUGAGAGUCCUCCGCUCUAGUGUCUGUAAAACGGCAUAUCUUCUUAGAGGAAUACGCGGCUACUAUCAAAAGCCGUCAGAGACUGAGAGCAAUAACAGGUCUGUGAUGCCCUUAGAUGUUCUGGGCCGCACGCGCGCUACAAUGCUGGGCUCAGCGGGCUGAAAACGUGGGCGUGGAUGCAGGUGGCGCAAGCUGCUUGUUUGAAGCGUUCACAAACCUUCUCCGAGAGGAGCGGGCAACCCGUUGAAAUCCCACUCAUGACUGCCCGUGCUGUCAUUCAGUAAAGCGUGCUUGGGCCUGGGACUUGUAAUUCUUUCCCACAAACGAGGAAUGCCUAGUAGUGGCGGGCCACCGAGCCCGCCGCAACUCAGUCCCUGCCCUUUGUACACACCGCCCGUCGCUACUACCGAUUGGGUGUACCAGUGAGAGCCUUGGACUGGCGUCCCCUGCCACUAAAGCAAUUUGGCGGCAGUUGGGGCUGACGGAAAGAGGUUCGAACUGGUGCACCUAGAGGAAGUAAAAGUCGUAACAAGGUUUCCGUAGUGAACCUGCGGAAGGAUCAUUA
rnacentral:rRNA from 1 species